GACUCGUAGCAAGUAUUUCAGUAAUGUCAAGGGAGGAGGAGAACGACAACAAGGAGACUGCUAAGAAGCAGCAAUUAUGCUGCAUAUGUAAUCAGAAAAGACCUGCUCUUAAGAGACCCAAAACCCUAGAACAGAUAUGUAAGGAGUGUUUUUAUGAAGUAUUUGAAGAAGAGAUACACUGUGUUAUAGUUGAGAAUCGUCUUUUUAAAGCUGGCGAACGUAUUGCUAUUGGAGCCUCUGGUGGUAAAGAUUCCACGGUUCUUGCUUAUGUACUAUCUGAGUUGAAUCGGAGGCACAACUAUGGGUUGGAUCUAUUUCUAUUGUCUAUAGAUGAAGGUAUUACAGGGUAUAGAGAUGAUUCUCUUGAAACAGUCAAGAGAAAUGAAAUUCAGUAUGGAUUACCACUUAAAGUGGUCUCAUAUAAGGACUUGUAUGGAUGGACAAUGGAUGAAAUUGUGAAGAUGAUUGGAUUGAAAAACAAUUGUACCUUUUGUGGGGUGUUUCGUCGUCAGGCUCUUGACCGAGGUGCUACAUUGUUGAAAGUGGACAAGCUUGUUACUGGGCAUAAUGCAGAUGAUAUUGCUGAAACAGUUCUCUUAAACAUUUUACGUGGUGACAUUGCCAGAUUAGGAAGAUGCACAGCUAUCACAACUGGUGAAGAUGGACCAAUUCCAAGAUGCAAGCCGUUCAAAUAUACGUACGAAAAGGAGAUUGUUAUGUAUGCAUAUUUCAAGAGGCUUGAUUACUUCUCCACAGAAUGCAUUUAUUCACCUAAUGCAUACCGUGGGUUUGCUCGUGAGUUUAUUAAAGAUUUGGAAAGAAUGAGACCGCGAGCUAUACUUGAUAUAAUUAGAUCUGGUGAGAAUUUUAGGAUAGCCGUUUCAACAAAAAUGCCAGAGCAGGGAAUAUGCGAGCGCUGUGGUUAUAUUUCUAGUCAGAUCAUUUUUAAUUGUGCUGGAGUUUCAACUUUCUGUAGAUGAUUCAGCUCCGGCAUAGAACCUUUUGUCUUUCGUACCUUUGUUCUUUAUGGAACAGUCAACAUAAGCCUACGAUCCUAUACUUGAAGUCUUAGCUGGGUUCUUCCAUUUGGGUUUCCGAAGUGGUCUCUUUAUGUGCCUUAAAAUUAGAAAUGGUGCAAAGCAUGUGUUUUGCUGGAUGGAUUGAAUCGAGGUUUACCCAAGCUUGGAAUUGGACGAAGCCGAGGGGUUAAUGGACAGAAGGAAGUAGAGCAAACAAAUGGAACGAAAAGGAUAGAGAGCAAACAGUGUGGAACCUUGGAUUUCUGAUCAGGAGUAUAAUGGGCGAUCAAAAUUUAGUACCAUUAGCUUAACUAUGCUUUGCAGUUUUGUGAGAAUGUUACGGUACUGUAUCAUUUAUUUUACUUGAUUACAUACAUUGCUUGCAUCUAAUAUCAGCUGUCAUAUUCCCUUUC